UACGAAGGGGGCUAGCGUUGCUCGGAAUUACUGGGCGUAAAGGGCGCGUAGGCGGCACUGUUAGUCAGGCGUGAAAGUCCUGGGCUCAACCUGGGAACUGCGCUUGAUACGGCAGAGCUAGAGGAUGGAAGAGGGUCGCGGAAUUCCCAGUGUAGAGGUGAAAUUCGUAGAUAUUAGGGAAGAACACCGGUGGCGAAGGCGGCGACCUGGUCCAUUACUGACGCUGAGGCGCGACAGCGUGGGGAGCAAACAGG
rnacentral:rRNA from 1 species